rnacentral:rRNA from 1 species
UACGAAGGGGGCGAGCGUUGUUCGGAUUUACUGGGCGUAAAGGGCGCGCAGGCGGCAGACCAAGUCAGGCGUGAAAGCCCCGGGCUUAACCUGGGAAGUGCGUCUGGGUCUGGUAUGCUAGAGUUCGGGAGAGGAGAGUGGAAUUCCCAGUGUAGAGGUGAAAUUCGUAGAUAUUGGGAAGAACACCGGUGGCGAAGGCGGCUCUCUGGACCGAGACUGACGCUGAGGAGCGAAAGCGUGGGGAGCGAACAGG